GUUUUCUGAUGCAAAAUACGCGCAAUGCAGAAAUAGCCGACGUUUUAAAGCGUCGGUUAUUUUUUUGC
rnacentral:sRNA from 1 species